rnacentral:rRNA from 1 species
GACGAACGCUGGCGGCGUGCUUAACACAUGCAAGUCGAACGGAAAGGCCCUGCUUUUGUGGGGUGCUCGAGUGGCGAACGGGUGAGUAACACGUGAGUAACCUGCCCUUGACUUUGGGAUAACUUCAGGAAACUGGGGCUAAUACCGGAUAGGAGCUCCUGCUGCAUGGUGGGGGUUGGAAAGUUUCGGCGGUUGGGGAUGGACUCGCGGCUUAUCAGCUUGUUGGUGGGGUAGUGGCUUACCAAGGCUUUGACGGGUAGCCGGCCUGAGAGGGUGACCGGCCACAUGGGGCCUGAGGUACGGCCCAGACUCCUACGUGAGGCAGCAGUGGGGAAUAUUGCACAAUGGGCGGAAGCCUGAUGCAGCAACGCCGCGUGCGGGAUGACGGCCUUCGGGUUGUAAACCGCUUUCGCCUGUGACGAAGCGUGAGUGACGGUAAUGGGUAAAGAAGCACCGGCUAACUACGUG